rnacentral:rRNA from 1 species
UACGGAGGGGGCUAGCGUUGUUCGGAAUUACUGGGCGUAAAGCGCACGUAGGCGGCUUUGUAAGUUAGAGGUGAAAGCCCAGGGCUUAACCCUGGAAUUGCCUUUAAGACUGCAUCGCUAGAAUCGUGGAGAGGUGAGUGGAAUUCCGAGUGUAGAGGUGAAAUUCGUAGAUAUUCGGAAGAACACCAGUGGCGAAGGCGGCUCACUGGACUGGUAUUGACGCUGAUGUGCGAAAGCGUGGGGAGCAAACAGG